rnacentral:rRNA from 1 species
GAUGAACGCUGGCGGCGUGCCUAAUACAUGCAAGUCGAGCGAACAGACGAGGAGCUUGCUCCUCUGACGUUAGCGGCGGACGGGUGAGUAACACGUGGAUAACCUACCUAUAAGACUGGGAGAACUUCGGGAAACCGGAGCUAAUACCGGAUAAUAUAUUGAACCGCAUGGUUCAAUAGUGAAAGACGGCUUUGCUGUCACUUAUAGAUGGAUCCGCGCCGCAUUAGCUAGUUGGUAAGGUAACGGCUUACCAAGGCAACGAUGCGUAGCCGACCUGAGAGGGUGAUCGGCCACACUGGAACUGAGACACGGUCCAGACUCCUACGGGAGGCAGCAGUAGGGAAUCUUCCGCAAUGGGCGAAAGCCUGACGGAGCAACGCCGCGUGAGUGAUGAAGGUCUUCGGAUCGUAAAACUCUGUUAUUAGGGAAGAACAAAUGUGUAAGUAACUAUGCACGUCUUGACGGUACCUAAUCAGAAAGCCACGGCUAACUACGUG